rnacentral:tRNA from 1 species
GUUCCCGUAGCUCAGAAGGAUAGAGCGAUUGCCUCCUAAGCGAUAGGCCGCUGGUUCGACUCCAGUCGGGAACA